CCGCACCAGAGGAGGUCCACAGAGAGCAAUACUACUCAGCAGGUGCCAAUGAGGACACAAUCUGUGAGCUGAUUACAUCUGCUUCUUGGGUUUCUGAAGAGGAAUCUCCAAAAGCUUGAAGAGAAGGCUUGGGAAUUGUAAUUUUAUCCUGCGCUAAAAGGAACUGCUGGCUCACACGAAUGAAGUCAAUUCUCAAAGAGCCUAAAAGUGUAGAGGAAGAACAGAGGAAUGCUUCUAAUUCAGCUGCAGAAAUAUAUCCAGAAUUAACAGACUGCCAGAAGAAGUCUGGGAGCUCAGCCACAGGAAAAAUGGAGGAGUAUACCCCACCAUCAGGAAAGUAAACUCUUUAGAUGAAGUGUUAUGAAUGGAAGAUGAAAUGGCACAUUUGGCCUCACCUCUUAGAGGAAAGUAAUGGGCAUUCCAGUCUCAAUGUUUGCUUUUAUUGUUAAUGCUUUACCACAACUUGUAGUGUUGCUUUGCGGGUGACCACCAUAUCUUUUUCCUUUUCUUCACCCUUCAUCUCCAUCCCCAAUCUACUCAGUGCAAACAUACUUCUGAAGAAUUCAGUUGUUCCUCAAAUUUCUCAACCAGUUUGCUGAUUUAAGUCACACAGGUUCAAACACCCUUGCUUUACUGUCAGCAUUCUCUGUGGUCCAGCCUCUUACAUUCAUUUACUCUGUGGUGCUAUCAUCACCUCCCCAGCUAUCAUCAGAUCCAGCUUAAUCCAGCACCACCAUGUUCACCACUAAACCUAUCCCCAACUGCUGCAUCCACACAUCUUCUAAAUACCUCCAAGAAAGGUCACUCAAUCACUUCCCUGGGAAGCCUGUUACAAUGCCUGACCAUCCUCUCAGUGAAAACACAUUUCCUAAUAUCCAGUCUAAACCUCACCUGGCACAACUUAAGGCCACUUCCUCCUGUCCUGUCACUUUUUAACUGGGAGAAAAGACUGACACUCCCCCCCCCCCCCCCCCCCACCCACCCCUUGCUACAGCCUAUUCGCAGGCAGCUGUAGAAAGCUGAGCGUCCCUUUCUCCAGGCUGAACACCUCCAGCACCUCAACUGCUCCUCACAAGAUUUGUGCUCCAGACCCUUCACCAGCUCCAUUGCCAUUCUACUCGCUCCAGCCCCUCAAUGUCUUUCUUUUCAUGAAGGGCCCAGAACUGAAGACAGGACUUGAGGUGUGGCUUCACCAGUGCCCAGGGCAGUGGAACUGUCCUUUGUAUUAGCAUUUUUUAGCAACAGAUAUAUGUUACCACCUUUUUGAGUGGUUACUGGGCUUGCAAAGUGUUUUUGCCGCAUUUCAGAGUGAGAGCCAAAUAUGCUUCUGCUUUGUCUUGCCUUCAAAGUUCAGCAUUAGGAUUUAAGGAAACAACAGCAGAGUGUGUAGCACAUAAAAUGUUUUGGUAGCUAUUGAAACUAAAGCAAGAAUUAGAAAAUUAAAGUGAUGAAAUGCAAAGAAUCUGAAGGCUCACCAAAUCCUCGCUGCGAGAUAACAACUACUUCCGCUUGAGUUUUAGAUAGUUAUAUGUUUGGCUGAAAAGAGGACGUGAACAAUUUGUUUGUCUUCCAUAGGCCAUAGGCACCUUUCCUGAUAGUAGCACUGCAGAAGCUGUUCCAGCCACUGUGCAGGUUCGUGGAAAUUGUGUGUGGGUUGUGUGUGCACACAUACACAAUGAUGUAGGUUUGCUAUGGGAUGGUAGGUAUUGGUCUUUGAAUUUAUAUUAUGUGAAGGCAACAAUUGUCUUUUGUGUUCUCUGCAAUUUUUGCCAACAUAUAAAAAUUUAGAAAACUCUUGCAUUUCACCACUGUCUGUAGAAUUGGGGCAGCAUAUUAGCCAUGAAAAAUAAAAGACACUGAAAAAAAUCUUGUGUAAUCACUCCUUUGAAGCUGAAAUAAAAACAUUGUUAUGCCCAGAGAUUAA